GCCCAGAUCAGAUUGCAGGACCAUCAGCGAAUAAAGCAGUAGUUGUUUUAGGCCACCGAAGCUGGGAGGCGGGGAGGGCGGGGGUUGUUUUGAGGCAGUGAAUAACCAAAUCAAUAUAUUCUUGUGUUGAAGACAGUGGAGCAACAGGAAAAAACAGCUUGGGUCCUUGAAUCCUUGUUUGGAACACAGCCAUCCUACCAAUCAUAGAGACUAUGACAAUAUGAAAGUGAAAGAGAAAGAGAAAGGCGCUCAGUCGUGUCCGACUUUCUGUGACCCCACGGACUGUUCUCCAGGCAAGAAUACUAGAGUGGGUAGCCUUUUCCUUCUCCAGGGGAUCUUUCCAACUCAGGGAUCGAACCCAGGUCUCCAGCCACCAGGAAUGCCCAACAAUAUGAAUCACAAUUCUAAACAGUUUGAAUCUGGAGUCCUAUCCCUGGAACUUCUCAUGUACUUCUCCCCACUGAUCCACAUGGCAGGUCAUUCCUUCAGUUUCAACAUUUUCACAUGGAAAGAAAGUAGCUGAUCAAUUGGAUGAAUAUGUCUUCACGCCCCUCAGAUUCCUCUGAACAGAGCUGGGAAAUGCUGAGCUAAUCCUACCUGCUCAGCUGAGAACCUGAGACCAAAAGGAAAGAAGUGACUCGCCAAGAUGGCACUUUGGCAACACAAAGACUCAGCCCAGGCCUCACAGCCCUUAUCUAGAACCCUGUUCAGAAAGCCACUCUGUCCCACUGACCAGAAGACAAUGUUCCCUGGAAUCCGGACUAUGAUGACUCACCCCAACAAAGCUCAUAACAUAAAAUUCUCUCCUCGAUAAUGGCAAAAACAACAUGGCUGCCUUAGCACUGAACUUAAUUUUAUUAUUUAAAAUAAAAGGGUUCAACAAACUAUUGAAAAUUUACUAAUUUCAUAUUAACCAGAGAAACGCAGUAAAAUACUUCCCCCACGGUGACUGAGUAUGUUCCUCAAAAUGCCUAACUCUGCUGCCAGAGUCCAUUUUCCACAAACUCUGGUUCCCAUAAAGGCUAAUUUGAGAAGGAGCAGAGGUACAACCAAAUGCUGCUGUUUUCCUUCAUAGCACUUAAAUAAUGCUUUCUCCACAUUUCCCACUGCCUGUUCCAAGAGCACUGUCCUUUGAUGUUUUUCAGAUACACAUUAUCCACAUCCUUUUCCAGAAAGUGAAUACUUUUUUCCACCACCUAGGUUUUUAAAUAAUAAUAAUAAAGAUUACAACUGAU
rnacentral:lncRNA from 1 species